UUUAUCUACUAGUAGUAGCUGCUAGCUCAGCAAAUGCCAAUGCCGUUUCCAACUCUCUCUCCUCACCCUUAUCACACCGGAUUAUCCAAUUCCAAUCACCAUUCUUGGCAAGCAGACCGAGCAGAAGAAAGAAACCAUGAAGAUAAUGGUGGCGAUAAAGCGGGUCGUCGACUACGCCGUCAAAAUCCGAGUCAAAUCCGAUAAGAGCGGCGUGGAGACCCAGAACGUGAAGAUGUCGAUGAACCCAUUCUGCGAGAUUGCUUUGGAGGAGGCCCUUCGGAUCAAAGAGGCGGGCAUGGCCUCGGAGGUCGUGGCCGUCACCAUGGGUCUAAAGCAGUGCGUCGAUACGCUCAGGACAGGCCUUGCUAUGGGAGCUGAUAGGGGCAUUCAUGUGGAGACUAGUGGUCCUCUGUACCCUUUGUCUGUUGCUAAGCUUUUGAGAGCUCUCGUGGAGGUUGAGAAGCCUGGCCUUCUCAUUCUUGGCAAGCAGGCUAUUGACGAUGAUUGCAAUCAAACGGGGCAAAUGGUGGCAGGGCUGCUGAACUGGCCUCAAGGGACCUUUGCUUCAAAGGUUGUGCUGGAUAAGGAGAAGCAAGUAGUGACAGUGGACAGAGAGGUAGAUGGUGGUCUCGAGACUUUGUGUCUAGAUAUGCCAGCAGUGAUCACCACUGAUUUGAGGCUGAACCAACCAAGGUAUGCAACUCUCCCCAACAUCAUGAAAGCGAAAUCAAAGGCCAUAAAGAAAUUUACUCCAGAGGAUCUGAAUGUGGAAAUCAAAUCCGAUAUAGAGGAGGUUCAAGUCACCGAACCUCCCAAAAGAAAAGCAGGGGUCAUCCUUUCUUCUGUGGACGAGUUGAUUGACAAGCUUAAGAACGAAGCCCAUGUGAUUUAAUUUUUCUUUCACUGUUUUGCUUCAAAGCUGUGUGCUGAUCAAGCUGUUGCUUCUAAGGAAUGGUAACUGCCAUUGUGGGCAAAGAAGCUCUUUGGUGUUAAAGAAAUUCAAGAUCUGUAGUGAUGCUUGUGUUGCUGUCUACAAAGUUAUGAAUCCAUGCAAAUUUGGUGGCUCCUCCUGAUACCUUCCCAGGCUCUGACAGGCAAAUCAAAACUUGAUGUAGUAUAUGAUGCCUCCUAAAUUGAGUCAGUACCAUUAUUCUUGGAGAUGCUUAUUCUUGAUCCAUUAUGACAUGAAAACAGAAGAAUGGAGAGGCAUAGAACAAAGUUCAAAUGCUCUUUUGGCAUGUUAUGCAUUUUUUCACAUUCUUAUAAUUUAUCUUCCUGUUGAUUCA